rnacentral:rRNA from 1 species
AACGAACGCUGGCGGCAGGCCUAACACAUGCAAGUCGAGCGAGGACUUCGGUCCUAGCGGCGGACGGGUGAGUAACGCGUGGGAACGUGCCCUUUGCUUCGGAAUAGCCCUGGGAAACUGGGAGUAAUACCGGAUGAGUCCUUUGGGGGAAAGAUUUAUCGGCGAAGGAUCGGCCCGCGUUGGAUUAGGUAGUUGGUGGGGUAAUGGCCUACCAAGCCGACGAUCCAUAGCUGGUUUGAGAGGAUGAUCAGCCACACUGGGACUGAGACACGGCCCAGACUCCUACGGGAAGCAGCAGUGGGGAAUCUUAGACAAUGGGGGAAACCCUGAUCUAGCCAUGCCGCGUGAGCGAUGAAGGCCUUAGGGUUGUAAAGCUCUUUCAGCUGGGAAGAUAAUGACGGUACCAGCAGAAGAAGCCCCGGCUAACUCCGUG